rnacentral:tRNA from 2 species
AAAUAAGAAGCAAAAACAAUGCAUUUAAUUUCGACUUAAAAGAAUGAGUUUGAUAACUCCUUAUUUA